rnacentral:lncRNA from 1 species
ACUAUAACAAACUUUGUACAUCAACAUUUUCAGAAGUUCUUGCCAAUCAAUUACUAAGACACCAACAACACAAAUAAUAAAUACAACUCAAAUGAAUAGGAUGGACAGAGAAUAAUCUUCCUAAUUUUACAGCAUUGAAUAAAACACUGUAUACUUUCUAUAAACACUCAUGGCAGCCAAACUGAAAAACCAAUGACAAAAACAACACAGCAAACUGUAUCAUCACACUAUAAAUCAGAAUACGAGAUUUUUCUUCUUUUGUUUUCCCUUCCAAAUUAUUAAACUUUAACCUCACCUUUAGGUUCAGAAGAAGGCACUUUAACCUCGCCUUUAGGUUCAGAAGAAGGCGUUUUCGAGUUGGUAGAUUUUCCAAUGAUAGCUUUCUUUGCCUUCACAAGUGUGUGCUUCACCUUGGACAAAAUGGUAUUUGAUUGCUUUUGAGCUGAUUUUACUGUAACCUCUUCUUUAGGGAGGUCUCCCGAUGUUAUUGUAUCAUCAGGUUUUUUAGUGUCAUCGGCUUCUGCUUCCUUCUCUGACUUAGUUCCAUCUGUUAGGACAGUCUCCUCUCC